rnacentral:rRNA from 1 species
CAUAAUAACUUAACGAAUCGCAUGGCCUUGUGCCGGCGAUGGUUCAUUCAAAUUUCUGCCCCAUCAACUUUCGAUGGUAGGAUAGUGGCCUACCAUGGUUUCAACGGGUAACGGGGAAUUAGGGUUCUAUUCCGGAGAGGGAGCUUGAGAAACGGCUACCACAUCCAAGGAAGGCAGCAGGCGCGCAAAUUACCCAAUCCCGACACGGGGAGGUAGUGACAAUAAAUACUGAUACAGGGCUCUUUUGGGUCUUGUAAUUGGAAUGAGUACAAUUUAAAUCCCUUAACGAGGAACAAUUGGAGGGCAAGUCUGGUGCCAGCAGCCGCGGUAAUUCCAGCUCCAAUAGCGUAUAUUAAAGUUGUUGCAGUUAAAAAGCUCGUAGUUGAACCUUGGGCCUGGCUGGCCGGUCCGCCUCACCGCGUGCACUGGUCCGGCCGGGCCUUUCCUUCUGGGGAGCUGCAUGCCCUUCACUGGGUGUGUCAGGGAACCAGGACUUUUACUUUGAAAAAUUAGAGUGUUCAAAGCAGGCCUAUGCUCGAAUACAUUAGCAUGGAUAAUAGAAUAGGACGUGUGGGUUCCUAUUUUGUGGUUCCUAGGGACCGCCGUAAUUGGAUUUAAUAGGGAUAGUCGG